rnacentral:rRNA from 1 species
UACGUAGGAGGCAAGCGUUGUCCGGAAUUACUGGGUGUAAAGCGCGUGUAGGUGGUGGGCCAAGUCUGUGGUGAAAUCGCCCGGCUCAACUGGGCGAGGUCCGUGGAAACUGGUCGACUGGAGGACGGUAGAGGCGAGUGGAAUUCCCGGUGUAGUGGUGAAAUGCGUAGAGAUCGGGAGGAACACCAGUGGCGAAGGCGGCCCGCUGGGCCGGUCCUGACACUGAGACGCGAAGGCGUGGGGAGCGAACGGG